UCCAACAACCCCCAAACCCAGUCCUCACCUCCCACAUGCUUUUCAUCACCCGCUCUCACAUCCCAUCUGGGGCCUCUGCUUCCAUCCUACCAUUUCGCAAGCCUGGCCAACUCAAGCUCCGUGUGCUGCACCUAGAGCAGCCCAUCUCUGUGUCAGGAGAACUGCAAUCCAAGCAAAUGUGGUGGGUGUGAAGCUUUCAAGAAGUUGGGUCAAGAACAAGGACUGAAAGAGGAGCAUCAAUUUCCUACUCCAUGUGAGGAGGACAAGGAUGAAGACCUUUAUGGUGAUCCAUUUCCAUUUAAUGAAUUGCAGAGAAAAUGUCAAGUUCAUCAGCUGAAACGAAAACUCCCACUGUCCAGGCUAAGAGACCAGGGUCAGGGAUGGGAUCCCAAACUUUGAGGUGGAAGAUGGAGAAAGGGUGGGGG
rnacentral:lncRNA from 1 species